AACGCACAUUGCGCCCCUUGGUAUUCCGGGGGGCAUGCCUGUUCGAGCGUCAUUUCAACCCUCAAGCUCUGCUUGGUAUUGGGCCUUCGCCGGGCGACCGGCGGGCCUUAAAGUCAGUGGCGGCGCCGUUGGGUCCUGAACGUAGUAACAUACCUCUCGUUACAGGGUCCCCGCGUGCUUCUGCCAUUAAACCCCAAACUUUUUAUGGUUGACCUCGGAUCAGGUAGGGAUACCCGCUGAACUUAA
rnacentral:misc_RNA from 1 species